UACGUAGGGUGCAAGCGUUAAUCGGAAUUACUGGGCGUAAAGCGUGCGCAGGCGGUUGUGCAAGACAGAUGUGAAAUCCCCGGGCUCAACCUGGGAAUUGCAUUUGUGACUGCACGGCUAGAGUGUGUCAGAGGGGGGUAGAAUCCACGUGUAGCAGUGAAAUGCGUAGAGAUGUGGAGGAAUACCGAUGGCGAAGGCAGCCCCCUGGGAUAACGACUGACGCUCAUGCACGAAAGCGUGGGGAGCAAACAG
rnacentral:rRNA from 1 species